rnacentral:rRNA from 1 species
UACGGAGGGGGCUAGCGUUGUUCGGAAUUACUGGGCGUAAAGCGCGCGUAGGCGGAUCUGCAAGUCGGGGGUGAAAUCCCGAGGCUCAACCUCGGAACUGCCUUCGAUACUGCGGGUCUCGAGUCCGGGAGAGGUGAGUGGAAUUCCUAGUGUAGAGGUGAAAUUCGUAGAUAUCUGCAGGAACACCCGUGGCGAAAGCGGCGAGCUGGAUCACUACUGACGCUGAGGAACGAAAGCUAGGGGAGCAAACAGG